rnacentral:rRNA from 1 species
GGUUGACCUCGGAUCAGGUAGGGAUACCCGCUGAACUUAAGCAUAUCAAUAAAG